GCCAUCAUAGCUCAGUGGCUAGAGCACUGGUCUUGUAAACCAGAGGCCAUGAGUUCAAUGCUCACUGGUGGAU